CCUACGGGAGGCAGCAGUAAGGAAUAUUGGUCAAUGGAGGCAACUCUGAACCAGCCAUGCCGCGUGCAGGAAGAAGGCCCUAUGGGUCGUAAACUGCUUUUGUACCAGAGAAAACCCGAGUACGUGUACUCGGUUGAUAGUAUGGUAAGAAUAAGCAUCGGCUAACUUCGUGCCAGCAGCCGCGGUAAGACGAAGGAUGCAAGCGUUAUCCGGAUUCAUUGGGUUUAAAGGGUGCGUAGGCGGACUGAUAAGUCAGUGGUGAAAUCUCUCGGCUUAACCGAGAAACUGCCAUUGAUACUGUUAGUCUAGAGUAUAGAUGACGUUGGCGGAAUAUGACAUGUAGUGGUGAAAUACUUAGAUAUGUCAUAGAACACCGAUUGCGAAGGCAGCUAGCGAAACUAUAACUGACGCUGAGGCACGAAAGUGCGGGGAUCAAACAGGAUUAGAUACCCUGGUAGUCCGCACCGUAAACGAUGAUUACUCGUUGUUGGCAAUAUGACCGUCAGCGACCAAGCGAAAAGCGAANAAGUAAUACACCACGGAGGUACGGCCGGCCGACGGUAGAACGUUAAAAGUAAAGUUAGUAGGACGUGAGAGAGCGACGGACGACGACGAGGGAGGAGG
rnacentral:rRNA from 1 species